rnacentral:rRNA from 1 species
UACGUAGGUGGCGAGCGUUGUCCGGAAUUACUGGGUGUAAAGGGCGUGUAGGCGGGAGAACAAGUCAGAUGUGAAAUUCCAUGGCUCAACUGUGGGACUGCAUCUGAAACUGUUUUUCUUGAGUACUGGAGAGGAAAGUGGAAUUCCUAGUGUAGCGGUGAAAUGCGUAGAUAUUAGGAGGAACACCAGUGGCGAAGGCGACUUUCUGGACAGAAACUGACGCUGAGGCGCGAAAGCGUGGGGAGCAAACAGG